AGGAAGCACAUUCUGAAGAAAACGCAUCUACUUUAACAAAGAAAAUUUGUGGCACAAAGAAACCCUCAUUGCCAUCAGUUCAAAACGUACACUCAGAGGAAGAACCUCCUGAAGAAGGGGCAGCCAUUUCUAAAAACAAAAUGGGUGGCAUUAAUAAAUCCUCAUUGCAAUCAAUUAAAAAAGGAAAAUCCAGAAGGCCCUGGUCAAAGACUGAGGGAGACAUUGUUGAAAGCCAUUUCAAA